GACGAACGCUGGCGGCGUGCUUAACACAUGCAAGUCGAACGGAAAGGCCCUGCUUUUGUGGGGUGCUCGAGUGGCGAACGGGUGAGUAACACGUGAGUAACCUGCCCUUGACUUUGGGAUAACCUCAGGAAACUGGGGCUAAUACCGGAUAGGAGCUCCUGCUGCAUGGUGGGGGUUGGAAAGUUUCGGCGGUUGGGGAUGGACUCGCGGCUUAUCAGCUUGUUGGUGGGGUAGUGGCUUACCAAGGCUUUGACGGGUAGCCGGCCUGAGAGGGUGACCGGCCACAUUGGGACUGAGAUACGGCCCAGACUCCUACGGGAGGCAGCAGUGGGGAAUAUUGCACAAUGGGCGGAAGCCUGAUGCAGCAACGCCGCGUGCGGGAUGACGGCCUUCGGGUUGUAAACCGCUUUCGCCUGUGACGAAGCGUGAGUGACGGUAAUGGGUAAAGAAGCACCGGCUAACUACGUGCCAGCAGCCGCGGUGAUACGUAGGGUGCGAGCGUUGUCCGGAUUUAUUGGGCGUAAAGGGCUCGUAGGUGGUUGAUCGCGUCGGAAGUGUAAUCUUGGGGCUUAACCCUGAGCGUGCUUUCGAUACGGGUUGACUUGAGGAAGGUAGGGGAGAAUGGAAUUCCUGGUGGAGCGGUGGAAUGCGCAGAUAUCAGGAGGAACACCAGUGGCGAAGGCGGUUCUCUGGGCCUUUCCUGACGCUGAGGAGCGAAAGCGUGGGGAGCGAACAGGCUUAGAUACCCUGGUAGUCCACACUGUAAACGGUGGGUACUAGGUGUGGGGUCCAUUCCACGGGUUCCGUGCCGUAGCUAACGCUUUAAGUACCCCGCCUGGGGAGUACGGCCGCAAGGCUAAAACUCAAAGGAAUUGACGGGGCCCCGCACAAGCGGCGGAGCAUGCGGAUUAAUUCGAUGCAACGCGUAGAACCUUACCUGGGUUUGACAUGGAUCGGGAGUGCUCAGAGAUGGGUGUGCCUCUUUUGGGGUCGGUUCACAGGUGGUGCAUGGCUGUCGUCAGCUCGUGUCGUGAGAUGUUGGGUUAAGUCCCGCAACGAGCGCAACCCUUGUUCACUGUUGCCAGCACGUUAUGGUGGGGACUCAGUGGAGACCGCCGGGGUCAACUCGGAGGAAGGUGGGGAUGACGUCAAGUCAUCAUGCCCCUUAUGUCCAGGGCUUCACGCAUGCUACAAUGGCUGGUACAGAGAGUGGCGAGCCUGUGAGGGUGAGCGAAUCUCGGAAAGCCGGUCUCAGUUCGGAUUGGGGUCUGCAACUCGACCCCAUGAAGUCGGAGUCGCUAGUAAUCGCAGAUCAGCAACGCUGCGGUGAAUACGUUCCCGGGGCU
rnacentral:rRNA from 1 species